GACGAACGCUGGCGGCGUGCCUAAUACAUGCAAGUCGAGCGAAGUUUUUCUGGUGCUUGCACUAGAAAAACUUAGCGGCGAACGGGUGAGUAACACGUAAAGAACCUGCCUCAUAGACUGGGACAACUAUUGGAAACGAUAGCUAAUACCGGAUAACAGUAUUUCUCGCAUGUGAGAUAUUUAAAAGUUGGUUAUGCUAACACUAUGAGAUGGUUUUGCGGUGCAUUAGCUAGUUGGUGGGGUAAAGGCCCACCAAGUCGACGAUGCAUAGCCGACCUGAGAGGGUGAUCGGCCACACUGGGACUGAGCCACGGCCCAGACUCCUACGGGAGGCAGCAGUAGGGAAUCUUCCGCAAUGGGCGAAAGCCUGACGGAGCAACGCCGCGUGAGUGAAGAAGGAUUUCGGUUCGUAAAGCUCUGUUGUUAGGGAAGAAUGGAUAUGUAGUAACUAUACAUGUAAGAGACGGUACCUAACCAGAAAGCCACGGCUAACUACGUG
rnacentral:rRNA from 1 species